UACGGGGGGGGCAAGCGUUGUUCGGAAUUACUGGGCGUAAAGGGCUCGUAGGUGGCCAACUAAGUCAGACGUGAAAUCCCUCAGCUUAACUGGGGAACUGCGUCUGAUACUGGAUGGCUUGAGUUUGGGAGAGGGAUGCGGAAUUCCAGGUGUAGCGGUGAAAUGCGUAGAUAUUGGGAAGAACACCAGUGGCGAAAGCGGACUUCUGGGUUGUUACUGACGCUGAGGUACGAAAGCGUGGGGAGCAAACGGG
rnacentral:rRNA from 1 species